AGAGUUUGAUCAUGGCUCAGAUUGAACGCUGGCGGCAGGCCUAACACAUGCAAGUCGAGCGGAUGAAGGGAGCUUGCUCCUGGAUUCAGCGGCGGACGGGUGAGUAAUGCCUAGGAAUCUGCCUGGUAGUGGGGGAUAACGUCCGGAAACGGGCGCUAAUACCGCAUACGUCCUGAGGGAGAAAGUGGGGGAUCUUCGGACCUCACGCUAUCAGAUGAGCCUAGGUCGGAUUAGCUAGUUGGUGGGGUAAAGGCCUACCAAGGCGACGAUCCGUAACUGGUCUGAGAGGAUGAUCAGUCACACUGGAACUGAGACACGGUCCAGACUCCUACGGGAGGCAGCAGUGGGGAAUAUUGGACAAUGGGCGAAAGCCUGAUCCAGCCAUGCCGCGUGUGUGAAGAAGGUCUUCGGAUUGUAAAGCACUUUAAGUUGGGAGGAAGGGCAGUAAGUUAAUACCUUGCUGUUUUGACGUUACCAACAGAAUAAGCACCGGCUAACUUCGUGCCAGCAGCCGCGGUAAUACGAAGGGUGCAAGCGUUAAUCGGAAUUACUGGGCGUAAAGCGCGCGUAGGUGGUUCAGCAAGUUGGAUGUGAAAUCCCCGGGCUCAACCUGGGAACUGCAUCCAAAACUACUGAGCUAGAGUACGGUAGAGGGUGGUGGAAUUUCCUGUGUAGCGGUGAAAUGCGUAGAUAUAGGAAGGAACACCAGUGGCGAAGGCGACCACCUGGACUGAUACUGACACUGAGGUGCGAAAGCGUGGGGAGCAAACAGGAUUAGAUACCCUGGUAGUCCACGCCGUAAACGAUGUCGACUAGCCGUUGGGAUCCUUGAGAUCUUAGUGGCGCAGCUAACGCGAUAAGUCGACCGCCUGGGGAGUACGGCCGCAAGGUUAAAACUCAAAUGAAUUGACGGGGGCCCGCACAAGCGGUGGAGCAUGUGGUUUAAUUCGAAGCAACGCGAAGAACCUUACCUGGCCUUGACAUGCUGAGAACUUUCCAGAGAUGGAUUGGUGCCUUCGGGAACUCAGACACAGGUGCUGCAUGGUUGUCGUCAGCUCGUGUCGUGAGAUGUUGGGUUAAGUCCCGUAACGAGCGCAACCCUUGUCCUUAGUUACCAGCACCUCGGGUGGGCACUCUAAGGAGACUGCCGGUGACAAACCGGAGGAAGGUGGGGAUGACGUCAAGUCAUCAUGGCCCCUUACGGCCAGGGCUACACACGUGCUACAAUGGUCGGUACAAAGGGUUGCCAAGCCGCGAGGUGGAGCUAAUCCCAUAAAACCGAUCGUAGUCCGGAUCGCAGUCUGCAACUCGACUGCGUGAAGUCGGAAUCGCUAGUAAUCGUGAAUCAGAAUGUCACGGUGAAUACGUUCCCGGGCCUUGUACACACCGCCCGUCACACCAUGGGAGUGGGUUGCUCCAGAAGUAGCUAGUCUAACCGCAAGGGGGACGGUUACCACGGAGUGAUUCAUGACUGGGGUGAAGUCGAAACAAGGUA
rnacentral:rRNA from 1 species